AUUGAACGCUGGCGGCAUGCCUUACACAUGCAAGUCGAACGGCAGCACGGGGGCAACCCUGGUGGCGAGUGGCGAACGGGUGAGUAAUACAUCGGAACGUGCCCCGUAGCGGGGGACAACCAGUCGAAAGACUGGCUAAUACCGCAUACGCUCCACGGAGGAAAGCAGGGGAUCGCAAGCCUUGCACUAUGGGAGCGGCCGAUGCCCGAUUAGCUAGUUGGGAGGUAAAGGCUCACCAAGGCAACGAUCGGUAGCUGGUCUGAGAGGACGACCAGCCACACUGGGACUGAGACACGGCCCAGACUCCUACGGGAGGCAGCAGUGGGGAAUUUUGGACAAUGGGCGCAAGCCUGAUCCAGCCAUGCCGCGUGCGGGAAGAAGGCC
rnacentral:rRNA from 1 species